GUUAGGAAUAUUGGACAAUGGGCGCAAGCCUGAUCCAGCCAUGCCGCGUGAACGAUGAAGGCCUUCGGGUUAUAAAGUUCUUUAGCCGAUGAUUAUAAUGACCGUAGUCGGAAAAUAAGCCCCGGCUAACUUCGUGCCAGCAGCCGCGGUAAUACGAAGGGGGCGAGCGUUAUUCGGAAUCACUGGGCGUACAGCGUGCGUAGGCGGUUUUGUAAGUUGGGAGUGAAAGCCUAGGGCUCAACCCUGGAAUUGCUCUCAAAACUACAAGACUUGAAUUCGGGAGAGGAUAGCGGAAUUGUCAGUGUAGCAGUGAAAUGCGUAGAUAUUGACAGGAACACCAGUGGCGUAAGCGGCUAUCUGGACCGACAUUGACGCUGAGGCACGAAAGCGUGGGGAUCAAACAGGAUUAGAAACCCGUGUAGUCC
rnacentral:rRNA from 1 species